ensembl:lncRNA
UGGUGGAGCUCAGAGAGAGAUGUGGUGGAGCUCAGAGAGAGACGUUGUGGAGCUCAGAGAGAGACGUGGUGGAGCUCAGAGAGAGACGUGGUGGAGCUCAGAGAGCUGGAGAGAGACAUGGUGGAGCUCAGAGAGACGUGGUGGAGCUCAGAGAGAAACGUUGUGGAGCUCAGAGAGAGACGUGGUGGAGCUCAGAGAGAGACGUGGUGGAGCUCAGAGAGCUGGAGAGAGACAUGGUGGAGCUCAGAGAG